AGUGAACGCUGGCGGUAUGCCUAACACAUGCAAGUCGAACGGCAGCACAGUAAGAGCUUGCUCUUACGGGUGGCGAGUGGCGGACGGGUGAGGAAUACAUCGGAAUCUACUUUUUCGGGGGGGAUAACGUAGGGAAACUUACGCUAAUACCGCAUACGACCUACGGGUGAAAGCAGGGGAUCUUCGGACCUUGCGCGAUUGAAUUAGCCGAUGUCGGAUUAGCUAGUUGGCGGGGUAAAUGCCCACCAAGGCGACGAUCCGUAGCUGGUCUGAGAGGAUGGUCAGCCACACUGGAACUGAGACACGGUCCAGAGUCCUACGGGAGGCAGCAGUGGGGAAUAUUGGACAAUGGGCGCAAGCCUGAUCCAGCCAUACCGCGUGGGUGAAGAAGGCCUUCGGGUUGUAAAGCCCUUUUGUUGGGAAAGAAAAGCAGCAGGUUAAUACCCCGCUGUUCUGACGGUACCCAAAGAAUAAGCACCGGCUAACUUCGUG
rnacentral:rRNA from 1 species